rnacentral:tRNA from 1 species
GGGGGUUUUGAGCCCCUUAGUGCAGGCUCGGGUCCUGUCUUUCUA